rnacentral:rRNA from 1 species
AUUGAACGCUGGCGGCAUGCCUUACACAUGCAAGUCGAACGGCAGCACGGGAGCUUGCUCCUGGUGGCGAGUGGCGAACGGGUGAGUAAUACAUCGGAACGUACCCAAUCGUGGGGAAUAACGUAGCGAAAGUUACGCUAAUACCGCAUACGAUCUACGGAUGAAAGCGGGGGAUCGCAAGACCUCGCGCGAAUGGAGCGGCCGAUGUCAGAUUAGGUAGUUGGUGGGGUAAAGGCUCACCAAGCCAACGAUCUGUAGCUGGUCUGAGAGGACGACCAGCCACACUGGAACUGAGACACGGUCCAGACUCCUACGGGAGGCAGCAGUAGGGAAUAUUGGACAAUGGGCGAAAGCCUGAUCCAGCCAUCCCGCGUGGUAGAUGAAGGCCCUCUGGGUUGUAAAUACCUUUUGCAAGGGAAGAAACUACUCCGAUUCAUCGGAGCCUGACGGUACCUUGCGAAUAAGCACCGGCUAACUCCGUGCCAGCAGCCGCGGU